GAGUUUGAUCCUGGCUCAGAGCGAACGUUGGCGGCAGGCCUAACACAUGCAAGUCAAAGGAGAAGCAGGACUUCGGUCUUGUGGACACUGGCGCACGGGUGAGUAACGCGUGGGAACCUACCUCAAGGUACGGAACAACCGCUGGAAACGGCGGCUAAUACCGUAUGUGCCCUUCGGGGGAAAGAUUUAUCGCCUUGAGAUGGGCCCGCGUCCGAUUAGCUUGUUGGUGAGGUAAAAGCUCACCAAGGCGACGAUCGGUAGCUGGUCUGAGAGGAUGAUCAGCCACACUGGGACUGAGACACGGCCCAGACUCCUACGGGAGGCAGCAGUGGGGAAUAUUGGACAAUGGGCGAAAGCCUGAUCCAGCCAUGUCGCGUGAAUGAAGAAGGCCUUAGGGUUGUAAAGUUCUUUCAGCGGGGAAGAUGAUGACGGUACCCGCAGAAGAAGCCCCGGCUAACUCCGUGCCAGCAGCCGCGGUAAUACGGAGGGGGCUAACGUUGCUCGGAAUUACUGGGCGUAAAGGGCGUGUAGGCGGAUUGUCUAGUCAGGCGUGAAAGCCCCGGGCUUAACCUGGGAACUGCGCUUGAUACUGACAGUCUAGAGUCCGGAAGAGGGUGGUGGAAUUCCCAGUGUAGAGGUGAAAUUCGUAGAUAUUGGGAAGAACACCAGUGGCGAAGGCGGCCACCUGGUCCGGUACUGACGCUGAAGCGCGAAAGCGUGGGGAGCAACAGGAUUAGAUACCCUGGUAGUCCACGGCGCCCACCUGUCCGGUACUGACGCUGAGCGCGAAAGCGUGGGAGCAAACAGGAUUAGAUACCUGGUAGUCCACGCCGUAAACGAUGGGUGCUAGUUGUCAGGCAGCUUGCUGUUUGGUGACGCAGCUAACGCGUUAAGCACCCCGCCUGGGGACUACGGUCGCAAGACUAAAACUCAAAGGAAUUGACGGGGGCCCGCACAAGCGGUGGAGCAUGUGGUUUAAUUCGAGGCAACGCGAAGAACCUUACCAGCUUUUGACAUCCCGGUCGCGGUUACCAGAGAUGGUUUCCUUCAGUUCGGCUGGACCGGUGACAGGUGCUGCACGGUUGUCGUCAGCUCGUGUCGUGAGAUGUUGGGUUAAGUCCCGCAACGAGCGCAACCCUCGCCUUUAGUUGCCAGCAUUAAGUUGGGCACUCUAGAGGGACUGCCGGUGAUAAGCCGGAGGAAGGUGGGGAUGACGUCAAAUCAUCAUGGCCCUUACGGGCUGGGCUACACACGUGCUACAAUGGCGGUGACAGUGAGCAGCCACUCAGCAAUGGGGAGCUAAUCUCUAAAAGCCGUCUCAGUUCGGAUUGUUCUCUGCAACUCGAGAGCAUGAAGUUGGAAUCGCUAGUAAUCGUGGAUCAGCAUGCCACGGUGAAUACGUUCCCGGGCCUUGUACACACCGCCCGUCACACCAUGGGAGUUGGUUUUACCCGAAGACUGUGUGCUAACUUAGGAGGCAGCAGGCCACGGUAAAGUCAGCGACUGGGGUGAAGUCGUAACAAGGUAGCCGUAGGGGAACCUGCGGCUGGAUCACCUCCUUUCU
rnacentral:rRNA from 1 species